CCUACGGGUGGCAGCAGUAGGGAAUCUUCCACAAUGAGCGAAAGCCUGAUGGAGCAACACCGCGUGAGUGAAGAAGGGUUUCGGAUUGUAAAGCGCUGUUAUUGGGGAAGAACAUGCGCGAGAGGAAUUGAUCACGCAGUGACGGCAUCCAACCAGAAAGUGAUGGCUAACUACGUGCCAGCAGCCGCGGUAAUACGUAGGUGGCAAGCGUUAUCCGGAUUUAUGGGGCGUAAAGCGUGCGCAGGCGGUGCAUAAGGUCUGUGGUAAAAGCCGGGGGCUAACCCACGGCGCGGCACGGAAACUGGCCGACGAGAGUGGGGGAGAGGUAAGCGGAAUUCCAUGUGUAGCGGUGAAAUGCGUAGAUAUAUGGAAGAACACCAGUGGCGAAGGCAGCGGACUGGUG
rnacentral:rRNA from 1 species